CCCCAUUCAUCCCAUCCCAUCCCUCCCUCACUUUGGGGCCAUUCCCAAGCCCCGUUCGGGUCAAACCAAUCGAAAGCGACACCGAAAUUCACCGGCGGUCGCCGAAACCGAAGCGCGGCCGCUCGCGCUUCCCCUUUCCCAUCCCCUUUUCCCACGGGGGCAGUUCCAGCUCUCAGCAGCCCCUGGGAACCUCCUGGGGACAUCCCAAAGUCCCUGAUUCAUGGCUGGGAUGAUCCCUGGGGGGUGUUUGGGGUCCUGGGGGUGCCACCCCAUUGUCACCCCUUUUCCCCCUCUUCCCCUUUUUCCCCUUUUCCCAUUCUUUUUCUCCCUUUUCUCACCCCUAAAUUCCCUCUUUCCCAACCUUUUCCUCCCAUUUCCCACCUUUUUUCUCCCCCUUUCCCACUCCUCACUGCCCCCAUUUCCCACCCCAAUAUCCCUCUUUCCCAACCCUUUUUUAAAUCAUUUUCCUUUUUUUCCCCUUUUCCCUUUUUUCCCAUCCCUCAUUCCUGUUUCCCACUCUUUCUCUCCCCAUUCCCCACAACUCAAUUCCUUUUUUCCCACUCCUCGUUCCCCCUCAUUUCCUUCCUUCCCCCUCUUUUUCCUCCAUUCUCCUUUCUCCCCUCCCUUUUCCCCCUUUUCUCCUUUUUCCCCCUCUUCCCCCCUUUCUCACCCCUCAUUUCCCCCUUUCCCACCCUUUUCCCCUAUUUCCCACCCCUCCUUUCCCUUUUCCCCCUUUUUCUCUUUUUCCCCCCUCUUCCCUCGUUUCUCAUCCCUAUUUUCCCCUUUUUUCCCCUUUUUUCCCCAUUUCCCACUCCUCCUUUCCCCUUUUUCCCUUUUUCCCCCUUUUCCCCCUUUUUUCCCUUUUUCCCCUUUUUUCCCGUUUUUCCCCUUUUUCUCCUUUUUUCCCCUUUUUUCCCUUUUUCUCCUUUUUUCCCUUUUUCCCCUUUUCCCUUUUUCCUUUCCCCAUUCCCCGCUCAUUCCAGCCCCCCAGGAUCUCUCCCAGCUCCUGGAUCAGCACCGGGAUCUCCAGGUGCAGCUGCAGCACCUGCACACCCAGCUGGAGCUGGAGCGGGAGGAGCAGCAGCGCCUGCGGGCGGCCCUGGGCGCCAGCCAGAGAGCGCUGAGGUCCUUCAAGAGAGUGUCCCAGAUUGUCACCCAGGAUUACUGCCAGGCCCUGGAGCAGCUGGAGCUGGAGCAGGACCUGCGCUGCCACGCCGAGGCCUUCGCCCACCAGAUGCUGGUGCAGCAGAAGGAGGCGAAGCGCCAGAGCUCCAUCCUGCUCAGGAGCGCCGGCCCCGAUUCCCAAAUCCUGGAAGCGCUCCAGGAACUGGGAAAACUCAGCCGGGAGCUGGAGGAGACGCGGCGGGAGCGGCGGCAGCGGGUGAGGGACUGUCCCCAGAUUUGGGGACAUCGCGGGGAGGGGACAGCGGGGACAGCGCUGUAAAUUCCCUUUUUCCCCACUGGUUUCUCCCCAUUUCCCACCCUCCUCCCUUUCCCCCUUUUUCCCCUUUCCCCCUUUCUACCCAUUCCCUCCCAUUUCCCACCGCUCAUUCCCCCCUUUUCCCCUUUUCCUCCUUUUCCCCUUUUCUUUUCCCCUUUUCUUUUCCCCUUUUCCCCCUCCAUUCCCACCCCAUGCCCCUUUUCCCAUGGAGCACUGCUUUCUUUUUUUUUUUUUUUUUUUUUUUUUUUUUUUUUCCCCGAGCCCUCAUCCCACACGGAGCGGGAGAUUUUUCCCCAAAAUCCGCUGGCAUUUGGGGGAUUUUGGGGGGAGUUCUGAAGCACCCCCACCCUCGGGAUUUUCCUGGAUCGCGGAAUUCCCAAAUCCCGCAGGAGAAGGAGCUGGAGGAGCAGCUGGGGGAGCAGCGGGAGCAGCUGGAUCGAGCCCGGGCGGAGCUGGAGGAGGAGCGGGAGGAGAAACGGGAGCUGAGGGAGAGGCUGGAAGGGCUGGAAAAGGAAGUGGGAUCCCUCCGCGAGCAGCUGGCUCUGUCACCUCAGAGCCACCCCGAGGUGCCACCGCCGCCACCGCUGCCACCGCCCGCUGCCACCGCUGUCCCCGCCGACCCCCUGGCCACCCUCAGGAAGAGGAAGGCGCCGAAAAACCGGGAGAGAACAGGUGACCCCGGGACCGAGGACAUCCGAGCCAGGGCCGUGCAGGAGAUGCUGGAGCGGAUCCGCAGCGGGAUCGUCCUGAGGCCGGCGCGGGAGCGGCCACACCUGCGCCAGGAUUCCACGGCCAGCAAGAGGCGGAGCGCGGCGCUGGAGCUGCAGGGGAUCCUGGGUGCCCCGCGCAGGCCGAGCCGCCGGCGCAGCGGGAGGAGCCGGGACCCGCAGCGGGCGGAGCUGGGAUCCAUCCUGGAGCGGCGGCGGCGGGCGCUGGACGCUUCCCUGGGAGAGAAUUCCACGGGGAACGAUUCCACGGGGAACGAUUCCAUCGGCAAUCCCACGGACGGAGCUGGGAAGAGGCUGGACACGGGUAGGGAGCGGGGAAUGUCCCCAAGGAGGUGACACCACCGGCACCUGUCCCCUCCUGUCCCCGCUCCCAUCGCUGCCAUCGCUUUUCCCAGGAAACCGGGACACGGACAAGGACAAGGACAAGGACAAGGACAAGGACAAGGACAAGGACAAGGACAAGGACAAGGACAGUGUCCCCUUCCGGCCCCGGGGCCUUGGUGGCCUCCCCAGGACACGUCCCCUCCCCCGCCGGGACAGGGACAGCGCCUAGGAGCCGCUUCUGGGGUUUCCUCCCUUUCCCGGGAUUUUCCUCCUCCAUUUCCCGGGAUUUUCCUCCUCCAUUCCCCGCGGUUUUCCUCCUCCAUUUCCCAGGAUUUUCCUCCUUCAUUUCCCAGGAUUUUCCUCCUUCAUUUCCCAGGAUUUUCCUCCUUCAUUUCCCGGAAUUUUCCUCCUUCAUUUCCUGGAAUUUUCCUGCCUCCAUACCCGGGAUUUGUCGCCCUCCUUUCAAGGAUUUCCCGCCCUCUUUUCCCAAGAUUUUCCACCCUCCUUUCUAAGAUUUUCCUUCUUAAUUUCCUGUGAUUUUCCUGCUUCAUUUCCCGGGGAUUUCCUCCUUUCUUAAUUUCCUGUGAUUUUCCUGCUUCAUUUCCCGGGGUUUUCCUCCUUCAUUUCCUGUUAUUUUCCUCCUUCAUUUCCCAGGGUUUUCCUCCUUCAUUUCCCGGGGUUUUCCUGCCUCCAUUCCUGAGAUUCAUUGCCCUCCUUUCCAACAUUUCCCACUCUUUUUUUCCCAAGAUUUUCCAUCCUUUUGCCCCAGGAUUUUCCAUCCUCUUUUCCAGGAUUUUCCUCCUUCAUUUCCUGUGAUUUUUCUGCCUCCAUUCUUGGGAUUCUCCUCCUUCAUUUCCCGGGGUUCUCCUGCUUCAUUUCCUGGGAUUCUCCUUCAUUUCCCAGGAUUUUCCUGCUUCAUUUCCCGGGAUUUUCCUCCUUCAUUUCCCGGGAUUUUCCUGCUUCAUUUCCCGGGAUUUUCCUCCUUCAUUUCCCGGGAUUUUCCUGCUUCAUUUCCCGGGAUUUUCCUCCUUCAUUUCCCGGGAUUUUCCUGCUUCAUUUCCCAGGAUUUUCUUGCUUCAUUUCCCGGGAUUUUCCUCCUUCAUUUCCCGGGAUUUUCCUGCUUCAUUUCCCGGGAUUUUCCUCCUUCAUUUCCCGGGAUUUUCCGCCUUCAUUUCCCGGGAUUUUCCUCCUUCAUUUCCCGGGAUUUUCCUGCUUCAUUUCCCGGGAUUUUCCUCCUUCAUUUCCCGGGAUUUUCCUGCUUCAUUUCCCGGGAUUUUCCUCCUUCAUUUCCCGGGAUUUUCCUGCUUCAUUUCCCGGGAUUUUCCUCCUUCAUUUCCCGGGAUUUUCCUGCUUCAUUUCCCGGGAUUUUCCUCCUUCAUUUCCCGGGAUUUUCCUGCUUCAUUUCCCGGGAUUUUCCUCCUUCAUUUCCCGGGAUUUUCCUGCUUCAUUUCCCGGGAUUUUCCUCCUUCAUUUCCCGGGAUUUUCCUGCUUCAUUUCCCGGGAUUUUCCUCCUUCAUUUCCCGGGAUUUUCCUCCUUCAUUUCCCGGGAUUUUCCUGCUUCAUUUCCCGGGAUUUUCCUGCCUCCAUUCCCAGGAUUUUUCACCCUCCCUCCUAGGAUUUUCUCACUUCAUUUCCCGGGAUUUUCCACCCUUUCCCCCCAACAUUUCCCUCCCCAACAUUUCCCUCCCUCUUUUCCCAGAAUUUCCCGCUCUCCUUUCCUAAGAUUUCCCAUCUUUUCCCCCCCAACAUUUUCCGCCCUCAAUUCCCAGAAUUUCCCUCCCUAUUUUCCCAGGACUUUCCAUCCUCAUUUCUCAGGACUUCCCACCCUCCUUUCCCAACAUUUUCCACCCUCUUUUCCCAAGAUUUUUUUGCCCUCCCUUCCAGGAUUUUCCACCCCCUUUUCCAGGGAUUUUCCUGCCUCCUUUCCCAAUAUUUUCCAAAAUUUUUACCAAUCAUUAUCCCACCCUCAUUUCCCACGAAAUUUCCUGCUUCAUUUCCUGGGAUUUUCCACCCCUUUCCCAAGAUUUCCCACCUUCAUUCCCCAACAUUUUCUGCCCUUUUUUUCCAAAGAUUUUCUGCCCUCAAUUCCCAGAAUUUUCCACCCUCCUUUUCCAAGAUUUCCCAUCAUCCUUUCCAGGAUUUCCCACCCUUUUCCCAGCAUUUUCCAUCCUCCUGGGAAUCCCUGAAAAAAUGGCUUUCCAUGGAAUUCCAGAUUGGCUUGGGAACACCCCAAAUCCCCCCAAAAUUCGGGAAUUCUUUCCCAAAAUCCCACAGAACCUCUGGCAACUCCUCCUUUUCUACAACAUCCAAAUAAAAUUCUUUAUUUCCCUUGGAUUUGGGAACACCUGGAAUUAUUCCUGGCAUUCCAAAGCUCCUUUCCUGGGAAUCCCAAAUCCUCCAUUCCCCAGGAAUUCCCUUGGAUUUGUUUUUAUCCCGGAUUUUUCCUCCUCCUCCUCCAGCUGGAAUUGAAAUAUUUAAGGCUGGGAGGGAUUUUCCCAAAUUUCCCUGAAUUUCUGCUCCUUUUUCCCUGUGGAUUUUCCAGGAGGAAAACUGGGAAGGAGAGAUUGAAUCCCUGCCCAAAAAGAUCGGAAGAGCGGUUCAGCAGGACCCCCCCCCCCCCCCCCCCCCCCCCCCCCCCCCCCCC
rnacentral:lncRNA from 12 species